CUUUAUAGAGCCCUUAGGGAUGUGGGCAUCUUGAAUUUUCAGUCUGCCUUCUGGGGGAGGGGCCUGCCAUACUGCUACUUAGGCAACCCUGUUUGGGUAAAGUUGCCUGGUCCCCUGAGAGGGGGGAUGGAGGUGGGCACAAUGGGAACCGGUAUUUCCGGGCUUUUGUUCUCUGGUAGCUUUCCCUGGUGGUUUUCUGUGCCUCUUCUGACAGUCAGAGCAGCAAUGGCCAUAUCCUAGCCUCCCUCUCAGAACAGAGAGAUCGCAGUCAGCUCUCCACCGAGCUCUCCUGGCCACUUUAACUCUGUUUGUGUUGGUGCUGCUAAAAACCCUGUAGUGUCCCAGGUUGUGUGCCCCACAGCCAUUCUCCCAGCCCUCGCUUCCAGGGCCAGCUCCUCUCUAUCCUUUGUGCUUCUAACACCGUCAGCCGCCCCCAGUUCCCGCUUGCGCUCCCGAGCUCCUUGUUUUGGUGUGGUUCACGCAUGCAGUGGAGCACCAGUUUUCAGUCUGGUUGUGCCUGCGCCACCAAGCUCCCAGUGUCAGUCAGGUUUCAGUGAGGGCUCCGGAGCACCGGUUUUCAGUCUGGUCGCGCUCCCGAGCUCCCAGUUUCAGUCUAGUUUGAGUGUGUGCCCCGGAGCUCUGGUUUUCAAUCUGGCUGCGGCAGUGUGUUCCUGGGCUUACAGUCUCAGUCUGCUGUCUAGCAAGUCCGGCCCGCUCCCCAGUGCAGGUGGCUACUGCUUCCAGCACCUGAGCGCAUCAGCUCCCUCCCCCUUCCAUUUACCUUCUGAUAUCUGUGCAUGGAUUCACAGCUCCCCACUUUGUACCUCAGUACUCUGCACUGGAGAUGUUCGUGUGGUAGAGAUCCUGAUGUAUCUUCCUACCUCUCGGGCUGAUUUCAUGUGUGUUCAGGAUGAUCUGGUAGAUAUCAGCUCGAUUCAGGGGACCAGCUGAAAAAAGUUUCCCUACUCCUCCACCAUCUUUUUCCCUCCCCUGACAAAUGGUUUUUGAAAGACAGAAUGU
rnacentral:lncRNA from 1 species